rnacentral:rRNA from 1 species
UACGUAGGGUGCGAGCGUUGUCCGGAAUUAUUGGGCGUAAAGAGCUUGUAGGCGGUUUGUCGCGUCUGCCGUGAAAAUCCGGGGCUCAACCCCGGACUUGCGGUGGGUACGGGCAGACUAGAGUGUGGUAGGGGAGACUGGAAUUCCUGGUGUAGCGGUGAAGUGCGCAGAUAUCAGGAGGAACACCAAUAGCGAAGGCAGCUCGCUGGGACGUUACUGACACUGAGGCGCGAAAGCGUGGGGAGCGAACAGG